AAGACGCUCCUCAUAGUGUUGGGAGCAUGGCCAUCUUGUAGUGGCCUUAUUCCUUUAUUCCUUGGGAUAUAUUGUUCUUCCUCCUGGAUCAAACACAAAUCUGCAAUACACAUGAAAUAUAUCACNCAUUAAUAUCNAUCCAAGAAAGGAAUUUUCAAAAGUAAUAACUUUGAAAUAAAGACUUCUUAUAUUUUGUUUUGUAGUCUUGGAAAAAUCUAGAAGUCCAUAUUCACAAGUUAUUUUAUUUUUAUCUUGAGUUAUGUGUCUCCUCAAGGGUAACAUUAACUCAAGAAUCAAAUUGCCAUGUUUUGAAAAUGAUUGUUCAUGAAUGACAUUUGAUUCAAAAGAGAAGGUAAUAUUUGAAAACUCAAUAAUGAUUGGAAAAGAAAUAAAGAUUUGGAAACCUUCCCUUUUAGGUUCCAUGACUCUUGGACGAAUUAAAUUUUCUAUUUCUCUCUUGUCCUCUUCUUUCUUCUUUUCUUCUUCUUUUCUCUUUUUCUCUUCUCCUCAUUCUAGUCUCUCUUCUUGCUUUUUUCUCUCUACUUCAUCUCUCUCUUUCUUUUCUUCUUCUUUUCUUUCUUGCUCAAGCCGUUUAAAAUCUCUUUCUAUUUUCUUAUCCCUUAACUCUUGAAGUUUUGCCCUAAAUUAUAUUUCCCUAUGAAAGAAACCAUGAGCAGUUAAACUUUCAAGAAAUAUUUUGCCAUUUUCAAUACUCUC
rnacentral:lncRNA from 1 species